GUAUUACCCUUUAUCAGAUCGACCACAAGAGUCUUUGUCAGGAAGAGCAAAAGGAAACAAAAGUGCAUUUACUUUUGAAAGGAUUUGCACCUAAAUAGACAUGUAUUAAUGUAUUAUGAAAGCUAGCCAAUCGAUCAUUUUCAUUCAAAAUUUUCCUUUGAACACACUCACAUGCUAUAAAAAUUAUCCUGACAUGACUGCACUUUUUUCUGGUGCAAGUAUUUGACCCUAACAGUGCUACAAAAUACUACUAUUUCCUUUGCAUCAAUAGAGGUGGAGGUGGAACACUGGAACAUGAAGUAUUCAAUGAUGACAAGCCUUCCGGCAUCACACCGUGAAUCCAGGAGCUCACUGCACGCUUGUGUUUCUAUCACAAAUUGCAUCGCAAAUGGGUAAAAAGAAUCUAUAUCAUCCAUCACAUGUUUGGUUGGUGGGGUAGGGAUAGUCGCAUCGCAGUAGAAGAGUGAGUCCAUAAUAAGAUAGGUGCAUGUCGCAUCGCUGGUUGCCCACGCGUGUGGAAACCACCAAGGGCCAAGGCCUCGCGACACGGCGGACCACGAGCCACGCCCUUGAUGACCCGCCGACCCGGCAUGUUUUUGGUUCAUGUUGCUAUCCAAAUUGACGUGCCUCCCAACAUGUUUUCUUCUGGUAUGUACAAGACUAAUGAAAUUAAUUUUAAUGCUUCUCUCAA